GGUUUGUCAAAGGGUUUCUCACAGAGUUCAUUGGCAUUCUGUCCACCUCCCUACGGAAAUCCGCCCAUGGUUACUAAGGAGGUGUGGUGAGGUGGGCAUACUGCCAACAGAGCUCUGUUGGUCUCACUUUGUAAAACCUUCCUGAUAUACC
rnacentral:pre_miRNA from 1 species